CCUACGGGAGGCAGCAGUCGAGAAUCAUUCACAAUGGGGGAAACCCUGAUGGUGCGACGCCGCGUGGGGGAAUGAAGGUCUUCGGAUUGUAAACCCCUGUCAUGUGGGAGCAAAUUAAAAAGAUAGUACCACAAGAGGAAGAGACGGCUAACUCUGUGCCAGCAGCCGCGGUAAUACAGAGGUCUCAAGCGUUGUUCGGAAUCACUGGGCGUAAAGCGUGCGUAGGCUGUUUCGUAAGUCGUGUGUGAAAGGCGCGGGCUCAACCCGCGGACGGCACAUGAUACCGCGAGACUAGAGUAAUGGAGGGGGAACCGGAAUUCUCGGUGUAGCAGGGAAAUGCGUAGAUAUCGAGAGGAACACUCGUGGCGAAGGCGGGUUCCUGGACAUUAACUGACGCUGAGGCACGAAGGCCAGGGGAGCGAAAAGGAUUAGAUACCCUUGUAGUC
rnacentral:rRNA from 1 species